rnacentral:lncRNA from 1 species
AGAGAUAGAGUCUUGUUCUGUUGCCCAGACUGGAGUGCAGUGGCAUGAUUAUAGCUCAUGGCAGCCUUAAAUUCCUGGGCUCAAGCCAUCCUCUUGCCUCAGUCUCCUGAGUGUCUGAGACUACAGAAGAUUUGUGAAGCUGUGUGACCUGCCUCCUUGCAACUGCCAGAGCUGCUCAAAGCUCCAAGAUUCCCUGCUGGGCAGCCACAUACCUGCCAAAGCAUUGUGUUCAAGGCUCUCAAGAAACCAGCCAUGAAAAGCUUCCCACUUCAGGAAAAAUCCCUUGCUUGACUUAUUCAGAGAUCAUGGAGGCCAAUACAACUGCAGACCAGAGAAAAAAAAUCUGGCUUUGUUGCUGUUAAAACUCAAUUCAAAGACUCAGGCUCCUUGAGAUCCCUGCAGGGUGAUUUUACUAUUUUCCCAGAGUGAUUUCAAAAUAUUUCGGCAAAUUCUUGGGCAUUUCUUCCAUUAAGAGAUAGAGUCUAUGUCCCAUUUUCUGGAG